rnacentral:rRNA from 1 species
UUAAGUGACUAAGCGUACACGGUGGAUGCCUUGGCAGUCAGAGGCGAUGAAGGACGUAUUAACUUGCGAUAAGCCCAGAUUAGGUAGUAAAAACCACUUGAGUCUGGGAUUUCCGAAUGGGGAAACCCACUAGCAUAAGCUAGUAUCGCUGCGUGAAUACAUAGCGCAGCGAGGCGAACCGGGGGAACUGAAACAUCUAAGUACCCCGAGGAAAAGAAAUCAACCGAGAUUCCGAAAGUAGCGGCGAGCGAAAUUGGACUAGCCCUUAAGCUUUUUUAUGCGUCAGGUGAAACUUCUGGAAAGUUGUGCGAUACAGGGUGAUAGCCCCGUAACCGGCAACGCAUUUAAAGUGAAAUCGAGUAGGGCGGGACACGUGAUAUCCUGUCUGAAUAUGGGGGGACCAUCCUCCAAGGCUAAAUACUACUGACUGACCGAUAGUGAACCAGUACCGUGAGGGAAAGGCGAAAAGAACCCCUGUGAGGGGAGUGAAAUAGAACCUGAAACCGUGUACGUACAAGCAGUAGGAGCACCUUCGUGGUGUGACUGCGUACCUUUUGUAUAAUGGGUCAGCGACUUAUAUUCAGUGGCAAGGUUAACCAUCUAGGGGAGCCGUAGGGAAACCGAGUCUUAACUGGGCGUUCAGUCUCUGGAUAUAGACCCGAAACCAGGUGAUCUAGCCAUGGGCAGGUUGAAGGUUGAGUAACAUCAACUGGAGGACCGAACCGACUAAUGUUGAAAAAUUAGCGGAUGACUUGUGGCUAGGGGUGAAAGGCCAAUCAAACCUGGAGAUAGCUGGUUCUCCCCGAAAGCUAUUUAGGUAGCGCCUCGGACGAAUACUACUGGGGGUAGAGCACUGUUAAGGCUAGGGGGUCAUCCCGACUUACCAACCCUUUGCAAACUCCGAAUACCAGUAAGUACUAUCCGGGAGACACACGGCGGGUGCUAACGUCCGUCGUGGAGAGGGAAACAACCCAGACCGCCAGCUAAGGUCCCAAAUUACUACUAAGUGGGAAACGAUGUGGGAAGGCUCAGACAGCCAGGAUGUUGGCUUAGAAGCAGCCAUCAUUUAAAGAAAGCGUAAUAGCUCACUGGUCGAGUCGGCCUGCGCGGAAGAUGUAACGGGGCUAAGUAGUAAACCGAAGCUGCGGCAAUGCACUUUAGUGCAUUGGGUAGGGGAGCGUUCUGUAAGCGGUUGAAGGUGUGUGGUAACGCAUGCUGGACGUAUCAGAAGUGCGAAUGCUGACAUGAGUAACGAUAAAGGGGGUGAAAAACCUCCUCGCCGGAAGACCAAGGGUUCCUGUCCAACGUUAAUCGGGGCAGGGUAAGUCGACCCCUAAGGCGAGGCCGAAAGGCGUAGUCGAUGGGAAACGGGUUAAUAUUCCCGUACUUCUUACAAUUGCGAUGGGGGGACGGAGAAGGCUAGGUGGGCCUGGCGACGGUUGUCCAGGUUCAAGUGCGUAGGCUUAAGAGUUAGGUAAAUCCGGCUCUUUUUAAGGCUGAGACACGACGUCGAGCUACUACGGUAGUGAAGUCAUUGAUGCCAUGCUUCCAGGAAAAGCCUCUAAGCUUCAGAUUGUAAGGAAUCGUACCCCAAACCGACACAGGUGGUCGGGUAGAGAAUACCAAGGCGCUUGAGAGAACUCGGGUGAAGGAACUAGGCAAAAUGGUACCGUAACUUCGGGAGAAGGUACGCUCUCGACGGUGAAGUCCCUUGCGGAUGGAGCUAUUGAGAGUCGCAGAUACCAGGUGGCUGCAACUGUUUAUUAAAAACACAGCACUGUGCAAAAUCGUAAGAUGACGUAUACGGUGUGACGCCUGCCCGGUGCCGGAAGGUUAAUUGAUGGGGUUAGACUUCGGUCGAAGCUCUUGAUCGAAGCCCCGGUAAACGGCGGCCGUAACUAUAACGGUCCUAAGGUAGCGAAAUUCCUUGUCGGGUAAGUUCCGACCUGCACGAAUGGCGUAAUGAUGGCCACGCUGUCUCCACCCGAGACUCAGUGAAAUUGAAAUCGCUGUGAAGAUGCAGUGUACCCGCGGCUAGACGGAAAGACCCCGUGAACCUUUACUACAGCUUGGCACUGAACAUUGACCCUACAUGUGUAGGAUAGGUGGGAGGCUUUGAAGCACAGUCGCUAGAUUGUGUGGAGCCGUCCUUGAAAUACCACCCUUGUAGUGUUGAUGUUCUAACGUUGACCCCUAAUCGGGGUUGCGGACAGUGCCUGGUGGGUAGUUUGACUGGGGCGGUCUCCUCCCAAAGCGUAACGGAGGAGCACGAAGGUGGGCUAAUCACGGUUGGACAUCGUGAGGUUAGUGCAAUGGCAUAAGCCCGCUUGACUGCGAGAAUGACGGUUCGAGCAGGUGCGAAAGCAGGUCAUAGUGAUCCGGUGGUUCUGAAUGGAAGGGCCAUCGCUCAACGGAUAAAAGGUACUCCGGGGAUAACAGGCUGAUACCGCCCAAGAGUUCAUAUCGACGGCGGUGUUUGGCACCUCGAUGUCGGCUCAUCACAUCCUGGGGCUGAAGUCGGUCCCAAGGGUAUGGCUGUUCGCCAUUUAAAGUGGUACGCGAGCUGGGUUUAGAACGUCGUGAGACAGUUCGGUCCCUAUCUGCCGUGGGCGUUGGAAGAUUGAAGGGGGCUGCUCCUAGUACGAGAGGACCGGAGUGGACGAACCUCUGGUGUUCGGGUUGUGUCGCCAGACGCAUUGCCCGGUAGCUAAGUUCGGAAUCGAUAACCGCUGAAAGCAUCUAAGCGGGAAGCGAGCCCUGAGAUGAGUCUUCCCUGAUACUUUAAGUAUCCUAAAGGGUUGUUCGAGACUAGAACGUUGAUAGGCAGGGUGUGUAAGCGUUGUGAGGCGUUGAGCUAACCUGUACUAAUUGCCCGUGAGGCUUAACCAU